rnacentral:rRNA from 1 species
UACGUAGGGUGCAAGCGUUAAUCGGAAUUAUUGGGCGUAAAGAGCUCGUAGGCGGCUUGUCGCGUCGGAUGUGAAAGCCCGGGGCUUAACUCCGGGUCUGCAUUCGAUACGGGCAGGCUAGAGUUCGGUAGGGGAGAUCGGAAUUCCUGGUGUAGCGGUGAAAUGCGCAGAUAUCAGGAGGAACACCGGUGGCGAAGGCGGAUCUCUGGGCCGUAACUGACGCUGAGGAGCGAAAGCAUGGGGAGCGAACAGG